AUGCACGCUGGCGGCUUGCCUAAUACAUGCAAGUCGCGCGAACAGACGAGGAGCUUGCUCCUCUGACGUUAGCGGCGGACGGGUGAGUAACACGUGGAUAACCUACCUAUAAGACUGGGAUAACUUCGGUAAACCGGAGCUAAUACCGGAUAAUAUAUUGAACCGCAUGGUUCAAUAGUGAAAGACGGUUUUGCUGUCACUUAUAGAUGGAUCCGCGCCGCAUUAGCUAGUUGGUAAGGUAACGGCUUACCAAGGCAACGAUGCGUAGCCGACCUGAGAGGGUGAUCGGCCACACUGGAACUGAGACACGGUCCAGACUCCUACGGGAGGCAGCAGUAGGGAAUCUUCCGCAAUGGGCGAAAGCCUGACGGAGCAACGCCGCGUGAGUGAUGAAGGUCUUCGGAUCGUAAAACUCUGUUAUUAGGGAAGAACAAAUGUGUAAGUAACUAUGCACGUCUUGACGGUACCUAAUCAGAAAGCCACGGCUAACUACGUG
rnacentral:rRNA from 1 species